rnacentral:lncRNA from 1 species
AUGAACACCAUCACAAGAGCCCAGGAAAUCUUACAACAGGGGAAAGAACUGAGAAAAAUGAAGAUGAAAAGUCCAUUGAAUGUUUGGAUUUUACAACUGCAAGCCAGAGGACGCCAAAAAUUAAAUGAUCCAGCAAUGAUGGAUGCACAAAGCAUGACAGAUGAAGAUAAUGUGAAAGAAUCUGAUGAGAAACUCCAUUCAGAUAACAGUGCUACAAUGUUCAAAAGCUCUAUGUGUGAAGGAAAAAAUGAUAGCUCAGGAGAAAUGUUCAAAGCUUCUCAGCCCCCACCUUCAUUUGUAUCAAAAAAAGAAGAUCAAUUGAAAAAAUCAGUCAUGAUGGCUCCCGCCAAAAAACCUCCAACAAACAAUGAAAUUUUAAAUAAUCUUUCAGAGUAUGGAAUACCGCUAGUUGAAAAUCCUAACCCUUUUUACAGCAAUGCCAAAGAUAGCACUGGCUGCAAAGAGAUAGGCGGAACUGUGCUUAAAGUUAAAAGUAAAUCAGUUAAAGAUUUGGAAGAUUUCCCAUCUCCAUUUCUUACAAUUACAAACUGGCGUGGAUCCUUGUCGAAAAAUUUUCUCUUCAUGUCAAAAAAGCCCAUGAAAUCUUGUGAAAAUAUGUUAAUGUCAGAGCGGAGAGUUAGAAUUGCUCCAGUGAAAACUUCCCCAACAUUUAGAGAAGCUGCGUAUUGGUUGAAAGCUAAAUCAUUGCUGCAGAAAACAGUGGGAAAAAAGGAAAUCACCACUAAUGAAUCAGAUAAAGUCGGUAAUUUUCGGAGUAAAAAAGAAGAUGCUGGAAGCAAUAAACGAGAGGACAAACCUUCCAACAAAUCGAGUCAUUUAAGUAGUUACCAUCUGAAAGAAGACAUCGAAGGAUCAUGCACUCUUGUCGAACAAAGCAGCCACUGCUCUGCUGAUAGUGUGUUAAGUGGCUCAAGUAGUACAAGUAUGUUCAAAAUACACACCACUCCAGUUUCAAAAGCCACCAGCCAGAAGAAAAAAAUGCCCCUGAAAAAAGCUGUGGACCAUCCCCAGGGCUUACUUUACAGGAAAAGUUCGCCAAAGGCACUAAUGAUGCAAUACAAGCCGAAGAUCCAUUUGUCACUGGCUCCGAGACAGAAGAAAUUCCCUCAGAAACAAUUAAUGAUACCCAUGCCGCAUUCGAGCAUGAGUCAUAUCUUGCAAAUGACCAUGUGGUUGAAGAACAAGUUCCAGCAGUCUCUGAAGGAAUGA